GCUCGAGAAAUAUGCCGCCACAAGUGAAUGAACCAGGAUUCGAACUUAAAUCGACCAAAAAUGGACUUAGAGAUUGGUCAUUUGAAAGUGAAUUUCUCAAACAAACUUCAAAUCCUGGCAUUAUAAAAUGAAGAGAGAUGGAACUGGAGCCGUUUGGGAGAUUUCGAAUUUUCAAUGGGAUUGGGUUUUAGAGAGGUGACAGAUUGAAAGAGAAUGGGAGAGGAAGACUAGAAGGUUGAUAAGAAGGGGAAGAUGAAAUGGCGGAUUCCGCUUCGACUCUGCCUUUGUUUCCAUCGC
rnacentral:misc_RNA from 1 species